rnacentral:rRNA from 1 species
GACGGAGGGUGCUAGCGUUGUUCGGAAUUACUGGGCGUAAAGGGCGCGUAGGCGGCUGCUCAAGUCGGGUGUGAAAGCCCGGGGCUCAACCCCGGAACGGCACCCGAGACUGGGCGGCUCGAGACCGGGAGAGGUGGGUGGAAUACCCAGUGUAGAGGUGAAAUUCGUAGAUAUUCGGAGGAACACCAGUGGCGAAGGCGGCUCACUGGCCCGAUACUGACGCUGAGGUGCGAAAGCGUGGGGAGCGAACGAGG